rnacentral:snRNA from 1 species
AUACUUACCUGAAAGGGGAGUUACGAUGAUCACGAAGGUGAUUUUCUCAGGGCACAUCUUAUCCAUUGUAUUCCAGGUGUGCUGAUCUCUGUGAUUUUCCUAAAUAUGACAAACUUGACUGCACAAUUUGUGGUACUGGGAGGACUGCAUUUGCACCCUCCUC